CGAUUACUCCUACGGGAGGCAGCAGUGGGGAAUUUUGGACAAUGGGGGCAGCCCUGAUCCAGCCAUUCCGCGUGAGUGAAGAAGGCCUUCGGGUUGUAAAGCUCUUUCGCAAGGGAAGAAAACUUAUGAUCGAAUAAAUCAUGAGGUUGACGGUACCUUGAUAAGAAGCACCGGCUAACUACGUGCCAGCAGCCGCGGUAA
rnacentral:rRNA from 1 species